rnacentral:rRNA from 1 species
GAAGGUGGGGAUGACGUCAAAUCAGCACGGCCCUUACGUCCGGGGCUACACACGUGUUACAAUGGCCGGUACAGAGGGACGGUGUAAUGCAAAUUGCAUCCAAUCUUGAAAGCCGGUCCCAGUUCGGACUGGGGUCUGCAACCCGACCCCACGAAGCUGGAUUCGCUAGUAAUCGCGCAUCAGCCAUGGCGCGGUGAAUACGUUCCCGGGCCUU